rnacentral:tRNA from 1 species
UCCCCAGUGGCGCAAUUGGCUACCGCGCGGUACUUAUAAUGCCGAGGUUGUGCGUUCGAUCCUCCCCUGGGGAA